rnacentral:rRNA from 1 species
UACGGAGGAUGCGAGCGUUAUCCGGAUUUAUUGGGUUUAAAGGGUGCGUAGGCGGCUUAGUAAGUCAGCGGUGAAAUUUUGCAGCUUAACUGUAACAGUGCCGUUGAUACUGCCAGGCUAGGAUUUGGUUGCUGUGAGUGGAAUGUGUGGUGUAGCGGUGAAAUGCUUAGAUAUCACAUAGAAUAUCGAUUGCGAAGGCAGCUCACAAAGCCAAGAUUGACGCUGAGGCACGAAAGUGUGGGGAUCAAA